rnacentral:rRNA from 1 species
AUUGAACGCUGGCGGCAGGCUUAACACAUGCAAGUCGAACGAGUGGCGUACGGGUGAGUAAUGCUUGGGAAUCUUCCUUAUGGAGGGGGAUAACUACGGGAACCUGUAGCUAAUCCCGCCUCCCAUAGGAUGAGCCCUCGUGGGAUUAUGUAGUUGGUGAGGUAACGGCUCACCUAGGCGACGAUCCCUAGCUGGUCUGAGAGGAUGAUCAGCCACACUGGGACUGAGACACGGCCCAGACUCCUACGGGAGGCAGCAGUGGGGAAUAUUGCACAAUGGGCGCAAGCCUGAUGCAGCCAUGCGUCGUGUAUGAAGAAGGCCUUCGGGUUGUAAAGUACUUUCAGUCGGGAGGCGUUACCGAAAGAAGAAGCACCGGCUAACUCCGUGCCAGCAGCCGCGGUAAUAG